UGGUGGAGUGAUUUGUCUGGUUAAUUCCGUUAACGAACAAGACCUUAACCUGCUAAACAGUUACAUGUAACCUCGGUUACAUGGGCAACUUCUUAGAGGGACUUUACGUGUCUAACGUAAGGAAGUUUGAGGCAAUAACA
rnacentral:rRNA from 1 species